rnacentral:rRNA from 1 species
AACGAACGCUGGCGGCAGGCCUAACACAUGCAAGUCGAACGCCCUCUUCGGAGGGAGUGGCAGACGGGUGAGUAACGCGUGGGAACCUUCCCAGUGGUACGGAACAACUCAGGGAAACUUGAGCUAAUACCGUAUACGCCCUUCGGGGGAAAGAUUUAUCGCCAUUGGAUGGGCCCGCGUCGGAUUAGCUUGUUGGUGAGGUAAUGGCUCACCAAGGCUACGAUCCGUAGCUGGUCUGAGAGGAUGAUCAGCCACACUGGGACUGAGACACGGCCCAGACUCCUACGGGAGGCAGCAGUGGGGAAUAUUGGACAAUGGGCGCAAGCCUGAUCCAGCCAUGCCGCGUGAGUGACGAAGGCCUUAGGGUUGUAAAGCUCUUUCGGCGGGGAAGAUAAUGACGGUACCCGCAUAAGAAGCUCCGGCUAACUUCGUG